UGUAAGCGUAUACCAAAGUUGUUGCAGUUAAAACGCUCGUAGUCGGAAUUUGGCAGUUCCGGAUGUGUGCACGUCGUGUGCGCACUUUGCGGGGAUUGCUUUUGUGGUCUUGCGUAGGAUGAGGCACUUUUAUUAGUGAACGUCCUCACGCAACCACUUUUUACUGUGAGAAAAUCAGAGUGCUCAAAGCAGGCAUUUGCCGUGAAUGUAUUAGCAUGGAAUAAUAGAAUAGGACUUGGUUCUAUUUUGUUGGUUUGUUGGGACUGAGUAAUGAUUAAGAGGGACAGUUGGGGGCAUUUGUAUUUCGGUGCUAGAGGUGAAAUUCUUAGAUUACCGAAAGACAAACUGCUGCGAAAGCGUCUGCCAAGGAUGUUUUCAUUGA
rnacentral:rRNA from 1 species